UUGAACGCUGGCGGCAGGCCUAACACAUGCACGUCGAACGGUAACAGGAAGCAGCUUGCUGCUUUGCUGACGAGUGGCGGACGGGUGAGUAAUGUCUGGGAAACUGCCCGAUGGAGGGGGAUAACUACUGGAAACGGUAGCUAAUACCGCAUAACGUCGCAAGACCAAAGAGGGGGACCUUAGGGCCUCUUGCCAUCGGAUGUGCCCAGAUGGGAUUAGCUAGUAGGUGGGGUAACGGCUCACCUAGGCGACGAUCCCUAGCUGGUCUGAGAGGAUGACCAGCCACACUGGAACUGAGACACGGUCCAGACUCCUACGGGAGGCAGCAGUGGGGAAUAUUGCACAAUGGGCGCAAGCCUGAUGCAGCCAUGCCGCGUGUAUGAAGAAGGCCUUCGGGUUGUAAAGUACUUUCAGCGGGGAGGAAGGGAGUAAAGUUAAUACCUUUGCUCAUUGACGUUACCCGCAGAAGAAGCACCGGCUAACUCCGU
rnacentral:rRNA from 1 species